GCCGGGUGCGGUGGCGCGUGCCUGUAAUCCAAGCUACCGGGAGGCUGAGGUUGGAGGAUCGUUUGAGCUCACGAGCUCUGAGCUGCAGCAGGCUAUGUCAAUUGGGUGUCCGUACUAAGUUCGGCAUCGAUAUGGUGAUCCUGGGGGAGCCUGGAACCGCCAGGUCACCUAAGGAGGGGUGCCCAGGUCGGAGACGGAGCAGGUCAAAGCCCCCAUGCUGCUCAGCAGUGGGAUUGCACCUGUGAAUAGAUUUUGUAGAGCAAUACAGCGAGACCCAAUUUUA
rnacentral:SRP_RNA from 1 species